AUAUUGGACAAUGGGGGCAACCCUGAUCCAGCCAUGCUGCGUGUGUGAAGAAGGUCUUCGGAUUGUAAAGCACCUUAUGUUGGGAGGAAGGGUUUUAGGCUAAUACCCUGCAGUUUUGACGUUACGAACAGAAUAAGCACCGGCUAACUCUGUGCCAGCAGCCGCGGUAAUACAGAGGGUGAAAGCGUUAAUCGGAAUUACUGGUCGUAAAGCGCGCGUAGGUGGUUCAGUAAGAAGGGUGUGAAGUCCCCGGGCUUAACCUGGGAACUGCUUUCAUAACUGCUGAGCUAGAGUACGGUAGAGGGUAGUGGAAUUUCCUGUGUAGCGGUGAAAUGCGUAGAAAUAGGAAGGAACACCAGUGGCGAAGGCGACUACCUGGACUGAUACUGACACUGAGGUGCGAAAGCGUGGGGAGCAAAC
rnacentral:rRNA from 1 species